rnacentral:rRNA from 1 species
UACGAAGGGGGCUAGCGUUGUUCGGAAUUACUGGGCGUAAAGCGCACGUAGGCGGGUCGUUUAAGUCGGGGGUGAAAUCCUGGAGCUCAACUCCAGAACUGCCUUCGAUACUGGCGAUCUUGGAGUCCGGGAGAGGUGGGUGGAACUGCGAGUGUAGAGGUGAAAUUCGUAGAUAUUCGCAAGAACACCAGUGGCGAAGGCGGCUCACUGGCCCGGUACUGACGCUGAGGUGCGAAAGCGUGGGGAGCAAACAGG